CCUACGGGAGGCAGCAGUGGGGAAUAUUGGGCAAUGGAGGCAACUCUGACCCAGCAAUGCCGCGUGAAUGAUGAAGGUCUUCGGAUUGUAAAGUUCUGUGAUGGGGGAUGAAAAAAAUGACGGUACCCAAAGAAUAAGCCACGGCUAACUACGUGCCAGCAGCCGCGGUAAUACGUAGGUGGCAAGCGUUAUUCGGAAUGACUGGGCGUAAAGGGUGCGUAGGGGGUUUAGUAAGUUGGCGGUGUAAUUCCGGGGCUCAACCUCGGCGCUACCGCCAAAACUAGUAGACUAGAGUGCAGGAGAGGAAAGUGGAAUGCCUAGUGUAGCGGUGGAAUGCGUAGAUAUUAGGAGGAACAUCAGUGGCGAAGGCGACUUACUGGACUGUAACUGACGCUGAGGCACGAAAGCGUGGGGAGCAAACAGGAUUAGAUACCCCAGUAGUC
rnacentral:rRNA from 1 species